UACGUAGGGUGCAAGCGUUAAUCGGAAUUACUGGGCGUAAAGCGUGCGCAGGCGGUUAUGCAAGACAGAUGUGAAAUCCCCGGGCUCAACCUGGGAACUGCAUUUGUGACUGCAUGGCUAGAGUACGGUAGAGGGGGAUGGAAUUCCGCGUGUAGCAGUGAAAUGCGUAGAUAUGCGGAGGAACACCAGUGGCGAAGGCGACUUCCUGGACCUGUUCUGACGCUGAGGAGCGAAAGCGUGGGGAGCGAUCCGG
rnacentral:rRNA from 1 species